UGCAAGUCGAACGCGCAGUUUUCUGUAGCAAUACAGGAAGCGGGCGCGUGGCGAACGGGUGCGUAACACGUGGGUAACCUACCCCCGAGUGGGGAAUAACCCCGCGAAAGCGGGGCUAAUACCGCAUAACAUUCCGAUGCCGCAUGGUAUUGGGAUCAAAGCCCGCAAGGGCGCUGGAGGAGGGGCCCGCGGCCGAUUAGCUUGUUGGCGAGGUAAUGGCUCACCAAGGCGAUGAUCGGUAGCCGGUCUGAGAGGAUGGCCGGUCACACUGGAACUGAGACACGGUCCAGACUCCUACGGGAGGCAGCAGUGGGGAAUCUUGCGCAAUGGGCGAAAGCCUGACGCAGCGACGCCGCGUGGGGGAUGAAGCCCUUCGGGGUGUAAACCCCUUUCGACCCGGACGAAACCCCGCAAGGGAUUACGGUACGGGGAGAAGAAGCCCCGGCUAACUACGUGCCAGCAGCCGCGGUAAAACGUAGGGGGCCAGCGUUGCUCGGAAUUAUUGGGCGUAAAGGGUCCGUAGGCGGUGUGGCAAGUCGGAAGUGAAAUCCUGGGGCUUAACUCCAGGGCUGCUCCCGAAACUGCCGCGCUAGAGUGUGGGACAGGCGAGUGGAAUUGCAGGUGUAGCGGUGAAAUGCGUAGAUAUCUGCAGGAACACCAGAGGCGAAAGCGGCUCGCUGGACCACAACUGACGCUGAGGGACGAAAGCUAGGGGAGCAAACAGGAUUAGAUACCCUGGUAGUCCUAGCCCUAAACGAUCAGGACUGGGCGUGAGUACCGUUUGGUACUCGUGCCGGAGCUAACGCGUUAAGUCCUGCGCCUGGGGAGUACGGUCGCAAGGCUGAAACUCAAAGGAAUUGACGGGGGCCCGCACAAGCGGUGGAACAUGUGGUUCAAUUCGACGCAACGCGAA
rnacentral:rRNA from 1 species